rnacentral:rRNA from 1 species
AUUGAACGCUGGCGGCAGGCCUAACACAUGCAAGUCGAACGAGUGGCGGACGGGUGAGUAAUGUUUGGGAAUCUGGCUGAUGGAGGGGGAUAACUACGGGAAACGGUAGCUAAUACCGCGUACCAUAGGAUGAGCCCAGUGGGGAUUAGCUAGUUGGUGGGGUAAAGGCUCACCAAGGCGACGAUCCCUAGCUGGUCUGGGAGGAUGACCAGCCACACUGGAACUGAGCCACGGUCCAGACUCCUACGGGAGGCAGCAGUGGGGAAUAUUGCACAAUGGGCGCAACCCUGAUGCAGCCAUGCCGCGUGAAUGAAGAAGGCCUUCGGGUUGUAAAGUUCUUUCGGUAGCGAGGCGUUAACCACAGAAGAAGCACCGGCUAACUCCGUGCCAGCAGCCGCGGUAAUAC